rnacentral:lncRNA from 1 species
CCUAAAGAAAUGUUCAACAUCUUUAGUCAUAAGGGAAAUGCAAAUCAAAACAUCCCUGAGAUUUCACCUCACACCAGUGAGAAUGGCUAAGAUCAAAAACUCAGGCAACAGCAGAUGCCGGCAAGGAUAUGGAGAAAGAGGAACACUCCUCCAUUGUUGGUGGGAUUGCAGACUGGUACAACCAUUCUGGAAAUCAGUCUGGAGGUUCCUCAGAAAAUUGGACAUUGAACUACCUGAGGACCCAGCUAUACCUCUCUUGGGCAUAUACCCAAAAGAUGCCCCAACAUAAAACAAAGACACAUGCUCCACUAUGUUCAUCGCAGCCUUAUUUGUAAUAGCCAGAAGCUGGAAAUAACCCAGAUGCCCAUCAUCAGAGGAAUGGAUACAGAAAAUGUGGUACAUCUACACAAUGGAAUAUUACUCAGCUAUCAAAAACAAUGACUGUAUGAAAUUCAUAGGCAAAUGGAUGGAACUGGAAAAUAUCAUCCUGAGUGAGGUAACCCAAUCACAGAAGAACACACAUAGUAUGCACUCAUUGAUAAGUGGCUAUUAGCCCAAAUAUUUGAAUUACCCUAGAUGCACAGAACACAUGAAACUCAAGAAGGAUGACCAAAAUGCGAAUGCUUCACUCCUUCUUUAAAAGGGGAACAAGAAUACCCUUGGGAGGGAAUAGGGAGGCAAAGUUUAGAACAGAGGCAGAAGGAACACCCAUUCAGAGCCUG